rnacentral:rRNA from 1 species
GCUGGCGGCGUGGAUAAGACAUGCAAGUCGAACGGGAUUACUUUUGUAGCAAUACAGAAGUAAUUAGUGGCGAACGGGUGCGUAACACGUGGGCAAUCUGCCGAAAAGUGGGGGAUAGCUCGCCGAAAGGCGAAUAAUACCGCAUGUGGUGAGGGACGACAUCUUCCUGAAUCCAAAGCCGGGGCAACCUGGCGCUUUUUGAGGAGCCCGCGGCCUAUCAGCUAGUUGGUGAGGUAACGGCCCACCAAGGCUAUGACGGGUAGCUGGUCUGAGAGGACGACCAGUCACACUGGAACUGAGACACGGUCCAGACACCUACGGGUGGCAGCAGUCGAGAAUUUUUCUCAAUGGGGGCAACCCUGAAGGAGCGACGCCGCGUGGAGGAUGAAGGCUUUCGGGUUGUAAACUCCUGUCAUUUGGGAACAAGUUGCGAGUAUUAACCGUGCUCGUAUUGAUAGUACCAGAAGAGGAAGGGACGGCUAACUCUGUGCCAGCAGCCGCGGUAAUACAGAGGUCCCAAGCGUUGUUCGGAUUCAUUGGGCGUAAAGGGUGCGUAGGUGGCGCUGUAAGUCGGGUGUGAAAUUUCGGAGCUUAACUCCGAAACUGCAUUCGAUACUG